UUUGUUUGUUUGUUUUUGUUUUUUGUUUUAAAUGUGAAGAAACUGAAAAUAUGACUUCUUGGAUACAGUUUCAGCCCACUCCAGAGCUGACUCUUAUGACAGUUCACACCAGUGCCUCUGAACUGAUGAAGCAAGGUCACAGAGACAUGAUCUUCUUGUCAGCCUCUUUUCUAAUGGGAUGAAAUCUGGAGAAAGGUCUGAAUCACAACUGCUAUUUUAUUCAUGUUAUCUUAGUUAUCAAAACCUUCAUUGGGAGCAAUGAAUGAGAUAAAGAGAAUCAAGACACUUGUAUCUCUCCAAGAUGAUGUCCUUCUUUCUCUUUUGUUCAAUGUGAUUUAGAAUUCUUUUCUUUUUACUCAAAAACAAACAAACAAACAAACAAACAAAAAACUUCUCAAAAAAAAAAAUAAUGGAGGAUUAAACUUUCUUAAGGAUUUGGAAAAAAAAAAAAAGAAGAAGAAAGAAAGAAACAUGGCUGGAAUGCAGAAAGGAUUUGGAUAUUUGACACCUAGUGUAAAAUAUGGCAUUGAAAUGCUCUAUGUAUGGCACACAUCAGUUCAAAGCCCUCUACACAUGGAAUGGAAAACUGCCACUAGACAUCAUAGCCAAAAGCUAGUUAGGAACAACAUACUGAUGUGAACAGAGAGUUCUAUGACAGUCUCUAAAUGUUCAAAUUCACUCAAGGAUGCAGCAAUAUACACUGCCCUGGAAGAACAGUUGACUGGACCUAGUCUGAGUAUCCUGGUUUGUCAAGGAAAAGUCUAUAGGUUUAGAAAGUUCUAAUUGGGUCUCACUUUGUGUAGUACAGGCUCUUAGAAAUGGACAACACUGGCUGAACUCCUUAGUCUGCUGUGGAAAUCCACAGGUAGAGAUUCACACGUGUAUGAGUGGAUGCUGCCAACCGAGUGGCACAGACCAGUGGUAGGUGCAUGCACGCACCCAGCAAUGGGCAGGAGGAGUUGAGGAGCC
ensembl:lncRNA